GAGGGUAUAGCUCGAGAGGUAGAGCGCAUGCUUAGCAUGCACGUGUCCUGGGUUCAAUCCCUAGUAUCUCCU
rnacentral:tRNA from 1 species